UCCUACGGGAGGCAGCAGUGGGGAAUAUUGGGCAAUGGAGGCAACUCUGACCCAGCAACGCCGCGUGAGUGAUGAAGGUCUUCGGAUUGUAAAGUUCUGUGAGGGGGACGAAGAAAGUGACGGUACCCCAAUAGCAAGCUACGGCUAACUACGUGCCAGCAGCCGCGGUAAUACGUAGGUAGCAAGCGUUGUCCGGAAUGACUGGGCGUAAAGGGUGCGUAGGUGGUUUAACAAGUUGGUAGUGAAAUUCCGAAGCUUAACUUCGGCGCUACUGCCAAGACUGUUGAACUUGAGUACAGGAGAGGUAAGUGGAAUUCCUAGUGUAGCGGUGGAAUGCGUAGAUAUUAGGAGGAACACCAGUGGCGAAGGCGACUUACUGGACUGCAACUGACACUGAGGCACGAAAGCGUGGGGAGCAAACAGGAUUAGAUACCCUGGUAGUCCACGCCGUAAACGAUGAUUACUAGGUAUGGGAGGUAUCGACUCCUUCCGUGCCGCAGCAAACGCAAUAAGUAAUCCGCCUGGGGAGUACGGCCGCAAGGUUGAAACUCAAAGAAAUUGACGGGGACCCGCACAAGCAGCGGAGCAUGUGGUUUAAUUCGACGCAACGCGAAGAACCUUACCAGGUCUUGACAUCCUUCUGACCGCCUGAGAGAUCAGGAAUCUCUAGCAAUAGAGCAGAGAGACAGGUGGUGCAUGGUUGUCGUCAGCUCGUGUCGUGAGAUGUUCGGUUAAGUCCGACAACGAGCGCAACCCCUGUAUACAGUUGCCAAUAUUAAGUUAGGAACUCUGUAUAAACUGCCGUGGCUAACACGGAGGAAGGUGGGGAUGACGUCAAAUCAUCACGCCCCUUACGACCUGGGCCACACACGUGCUACAAUGGCUAUUACAAAGAGCAGCGAAACUGUAAAGUCGAGCGAAUCUCAAAAAGAUAGUCUCAGUUCAGAUUGUGGGCUGCAACCCGCCCACGUGAAGUCGGAGUUGCUAGUAAUCCCGAAUCAGCAUGUCGGGGUGAAUGCGUUCCCGGGUCUUGUACACACCGCCCGUCACGCCAUGGGAGUUUGGAGUACCCAAAGUCAACGGCCUAACCGCAAGGAGGGAGUUGCCUAAGGUAAUACAAAUGACUGGGGUGAAGUCGUAACAAGGUAGCCGUAUCGGAAGGUGCGGCUG
rnacentral:rRNA from 1 species